rnacentral:tRNA from 1 species
GCCGGCGUGGCGGAAUUGGCAGACGCGCUGGACUCAAAAUCCAGUGGCCGCAAGGCCGUGUGGGUUCGAACCCCUCCGCCGGCA